AUUGAACGCUGGCGGCAGGCCUAACACAUGCAAGUCGAACGAGUGGCGGACGGGUGAGUAAUGCCUGGGAACUGCCUGAUGGAGGGGGAUAACUACGGGAAACGGUAGCUAAUACCGCAUACUAUAGGAUAGCCCACAUGGGAUUAGCUAGUGGGUGCGGUAAUGGCUCACCUAGGCGACGAUCCCUAGCUGGUCUGAGAGGAUGAUCAGCCACACUGGGACUGAGACACGACCCAGACUCCUACGGAGGCAGCAGUGGGGAAUAUUGCGCAAUGGGCGCAAGCCUGAUGCAGCCAUGCCGCGUGUAUGAAGAAGGCCUUAGGGUUGUAAAGUACUUUCAGUCGGGAGGCGUUACCGACAGAAGAAGCACCGGCUAACUCCGUGCCAGCAGCCGCGGUAAUAC
rnacentral:rRNA from 1 species